UUGAUUUGAUUCGUAGAAUCCACUCAGAAUACGUUUGAAGUCAAAUACAAUUGAAUUUUUGGGUCCUCGGGCGGGCCCCCGCGCGAGGCGAGGGCGAUUCCGCCGAAGCAACAGUGGUAUGUUCACAGGGGUUUGGGAGUUUUCACUCGGUAAUGAUCCCUCCGCUGGUUCACCAACGGAGA
rnacentral:misc_RNA from 1 species